UGUAAACUUGGGAUUAAACCUUUCAACUUCAAUUGUCACUCUUCCCGCUUGCAAGUUGCAACUAAUUGUUCAUUUGGCCGUUCGGUUAGCUAGUAGACUCUCUAGACGAUGGACAGCAUGCGCUUGACUUCUCUCAAGUCGGCAAAAGCAGAAACUAAAAGAUAAAUAACGAAAAAUUAAAAAAAAAGUAACGGCAAGACCCAUUGAUACCAGGAGCAAAAUCCUUCGCACCUAUGCCUCUAGAUGGCUCCACCUCUGAGUUCGGUAUGGUAAGAGACCUUAUAGAGGUGAAGUGAGGUAAAUGGGACGGGAAAUUAUCACAAUUGUUCACAGCAGCUAUGGUGAAGGACAUAUUGACAAUACCACUGAGUGGGAUUGAAGUCCAAGACGUGCUAGUCUGGCAUUUCAACAAGGACGGUGUGUACAGUGCUAAAAGAGGAUACCACCUCCGGAGAUCAAAUGAGCAGUCACUGCAGGGAUCUCAGGAAGAAAAUGGGGACGGAGUCUGGGGAAGGGAGAUACAGGUGUGGAACAAAAUAUGGCGGGUAGACCUCCCAAGCAAGUUAAAGGUGUUCGGUUAGAGAUUAUGUAAUGAAAUCCUCCCACCAAACAAAACCUGCAAAGAAGAAGGAUUUUAGCACAGGCGAUGUGUCAGAGAUGUAACACAGGGGAGAAACUGUGAUUCAUGCGAUAGCCGAAUGUCCGAGAGCAGUAGAAGUAUGGCGGGAAGCCGGACUGACUGACCAAAACGGUGACAACAUGAACAGAAGAUCGAACAAUGGUUGAGGAGACUUACCAAGGACUUUGAAGAAGACAUGCUGGAGAAAGUCCUAACGGUUUCUUGGGCGAUAUGAACAAGUAGCAAUGACCAUGUUAAGAACCAAGUAGAACGCAGCAGUAAACAUACCGCCAGAUAUGCUAUUCAAUACAGGGAAGAGUAUAAAAGAGCACAAGAAAGACCUGAAAGCUUGACAACUAAUUCCCUAGGCUAGUGGAAGGCACCAAUUGAAGGUAAGGUCAAGAUAAACUUUGAUGGGGCAUUGGAAGUACAGAACGGAAGUGGGGGGGGGGGGGGGGGUAUAGGAGCAGUGCCAAGAGACUCAGCCGGAGUUGUUCGUGGAGAAAUGUGCAAGAAGUUUCAAAGUAUAUGUGAUCCCACAACAAUCGAAGCUUUGGCAAUGGUGGAAGCAGCAAAGCUUGCAGCAGAAAUGGGCUUUCAUCAGAUUUAAGUGGAGGGCGACGCAAGGGAAAUCGUACACCAAAUAAAGAGGAAGCACUGAGACCUGUCCUAGGUAAUCUCAUGGAGGAGGGUAGGUUGCAGGAGUUCACAUCAUGGGAGCGUUUAUAUGUUAAACAGAGAAGGAAACAGGGCGUCCCAUUGCAUGGCAAAGAUGACCAAGGGAGGAGAGGACACGAGGUUUUGGGUAGAAAAUUUCUCUGAGUUCAUUACUUGUAAUAUGUGAACAAUAUAGAACUGGAAGUUAAGUAAUGAAGUUUUAUUUAAUAUAAAAAAAAAGGUGAAAAUGCCAUAAUUUUUACAAAUAAAACAGAGAGUUCACAUGAUUUUGUUAUACUGGAAUAUCUCGUUAAAUUCCACCACUUGUACUUUUAUCCAGAUUUUCAGUUACCGUGCAGACUAAAAAAACUGAGAAAAAUGUUACUAAGACCGCAAUUAACGGGACAGAACGAAAUUUAAAGCAGUCAAUGGAGUGGUCAUCAGCACAACGUUAUCUCUUUAGGCACUUGUAUAUAAUUUAAUACAUUAAAACAUAACAUCAAAGUCUAAUUUUGAUUUUUCUAUUAUCUUAAUCAUAUGAUUUUGGUCCAUUUGUCCUAAAUUUAAUGAAUUUAAUCCUAUAUUUUUAAAGAUAAAGAAUAACAAUGUUAAAAAUUUUCUAUUAAAUUGAUUAUAUGAAAUUUUUGUUGAUAAAGUAGCAUGUUAAUCUGAAAUUUUUUUAUCAGCACAUGACAUAUAUUAGCAAGGAAGAACUUUAUUUUUAAUAAAAAUAUAA
rnacentral:lncRNA from 1 species